rnacentral:rRNA from 1 species
ACACGCAUGACACACUGCAUAUCAAUAAGCGGAGGAAAAGAAACUAACAAGGAUUCCCUUAGUAACGGCGAGUGAAGCGGGAAGAGCUCAAAUUUGAAAUCUUCAAGGUUCUACCUUGACGAAUUGUAGUUCAUAGAAGUGUUUUCUGUUAGUAAGUGGCUAAAAGUUCUUUGGAAUAGGACAUCAUAGAGGGUGAGAAUCCCGUAUUUGAUCAUUCUUUCUAGCUGUGUGAUACACUUUCAACGAGUCGGAUUGUUUGGGAACGCAGUCCAAAAUGGGUGGUAAAUUUCAUCUAAAGCUAAAUAUUGGCGAGAGACCGAUAGCGAACAAGUACCGUGAGGGAAAGAUGAAAAGAACUUUGAAAAGGAGAGUUAAACAGUACGUGAAAUUGUCAAAAGGGAAGCGUUUGACACCAGUGUUGUUUUUCUCGAAAAUCAAUUACAAAAUGUUUGAUUUUUGAUAGUUAUGACUUCAUCAGCUUGCUUCUACUCUUUAUGAACUUUUCUUAAUGCACUUUUCGUUUAACAAGUCAACAUCAGAUUUCUUUUGUUGUAAAAAGGGUAUGAGGAAGGUGGCUUUCUUUUCGGAGAAAGUGUUUAUAGCCUUUGAUCUCUGCAACCGGAGAGACUGAGGUCUGCAGCGUAGACUCUUCGGGGUUAGAUACAUUUGUGCUAAGCUAUAGCUUUUCAUAGACAACUUGUUGACUAUAUUUAGUCUUGUAGCUUACUCGCUUAUGCUAUUUUACCUACGCUUAGGAUGUUGAGCGCAUGUCUCUCUCU